rnacentral:rRNA from 1 species
AUGGCGAUAGAGCACACGAGCUCGCCUGCUCUGGCUACAUUGGCCAACAGGACAAUAACGCGCGCGUCGCUAGGUCCACCCCGCCCACCACUUAGGAAAAAAACAAACAAAUCUAUCCUUCGGGAGCCGCACUGGUCGACAAGCUCCAAGCUAUGGCAACGGCGGAGGCGGAAGAUGAUGGAUUCGAGUUCCUAUCAGAUCCGGCUGCCAGCAUGUUCCCGCUGCCGGAUCUUGGAGGCGGCGACUCCACACUGGACGGGGGUCGGGGAACACUCCCAAAUUCUGGUAUGCACGGCCGCUGAGUCCAGCAUUGGUUAUGUUGGCUAUGCGGCGCUGACAGUCCAAAAUAAGUGCCCUGGAGAAAACACCGAGAGUCUAUGCAGAGAAGAAGAUGGCACUGUUGUAGUUCCUGAAGGAAACUGGGUUCACAAUUUGAUACGGGAAGAGCAAGCUGAACAUCCAGAGAACAAAAUGCAUGCAGGAAAUAUUCCGCGGAUACUCGUUGCGUACGACAUCCCUUUCAAGAAUGCUGAGACGAGUGAUCAGUGCAGGGCAACGGAGGUAGCAAUCGAGAAGGUGAUGCCAGAAACCACCCGCCGAUGGUGCAAGUUGCACGUGCUUAAGAAGGCAAAGGAAUCUAUCGGUCCAUAUUACACAAAACGGAACAACUUCAGAUCAGAAUUGCACAAGACAAUACAUCACAUGCUGACGGCUGAUGAGUUCAACAUUGCAUGGAAGGAGCUGACAGAGCCACGUGUACACGAGACUUCUAUAGUAUAUGCCAUGAGCCAGGUCACAAGAGCACCACCUCCACCUGUCCACAGAGAGACGAUCUUCUUCAAAAGGAAAGAAAAUAAGCUGAAUGCUCAAACUGUUUUGUCGGUGGUCACAGGAAGAACACCUGCCACAAGCCUGAGGUGUACGGUCCUGCUGUAUUCCAUGGGCGGGAAUUCAUCCAAUUUGAUUUUUGAACUGCUUGAGAGGGCUCCCCAAAGAGAGCAUCAGUGGCUGCAUCCUUCUGCACACCCCACUCCAUCCCACUACCAACCUACCGUAGUUUCAUUUACAGGACUCCCUGGGAUCAGACGACGUGUGUUUACAGGCUCCCUGGGAUCAGACGACGUGUGUGUGAGUCGAAAUGUUUGCACCUGCUCCCGACAGGAGUUCUCCUCCUGUUCCAGCUCAAUUGCCCUUGAUGUCGGCCAUAAACAAGGCAACCAUGUUCAGAAUGAUUCGGUGGACGGGAGAGCUGACAACGCGUCAAUGGCAGAGGAAGCUUGGAAGACAAAGCUGAAGUUCAAUCCCUCUUUUCAGCCGUGGAAGAGGUAG